UGCCAGACUCCUACGAGAGGCAGCAGUGAGGAAUAUUGGUCAAUGGGAGAGAUCCUGAACCAGCCAAGCCGCGUGAGGGAAGACGGCCCUAUGGGUUGUAAACCUCUUUUGUCGGAGAACAAAACCCGGGACGUGUCCCGGACUGCGUGUAUCCGAAGAAAAAGCAUCGGCUAACUCCGUGCCAGCAGCCGCGGUAAUACGGAGGAUGCGAGCGUUAUCCGGAUUUAUUGGGUUUAAAGGGUGCGUAGGCGGUCCGUUAAGUCAGCGGUAAAAUUGCGGGGCUCAACCCCGUCGAGCCGUUGAAACUGGGGAUCUAGAGUGUGCGAGAGGUAUGCGGAAUGCGUGGUGUAGCGGUGAAAUGCAUAGAUAUCACGCAGAACCCCGAUUGCGAAGGCAGCAUACCGGUGCACAACUGGCGCUCAGGCACGAAAGCGUGGGUAUCGAACAGGAUUAGAUACCCUGGUAA
rnacentral:rRNA from 1 species